UUCAAAUAUAGCUCUCUUAUUUUUCUCUGCUAUUCAAAAAUACUCCUACUGUUAGUACCGUUAAGUUAUUUCGGAUUAAAUUCCGAUUAAAUUUCUACCAAAGUUAAAAAAAAAAAAAAAAUUCAAAUGGGUCCUUAGGGUUGAGUGGGUGGUUGGUUUAAUAGUAUAAUCUAACGGAUAAAAAUAAUCUAAAAGUUAAAUCUAACGAUGGAAAGCUCAAUAAUUUUUUGUGCUAUCGAUAGUAUCCUAGCCGGACUCUAUAUAAGUAAUU
rnacentral:lncRNA from 1 species